GAAGCGAAAGCGAUAAGCAUUCCACCUGGGGAGUACGCCGGCAACGGUGAAACUCAAAGGAAUUGACGGGGGCCCGCACAAGCGGAGGAACAUGUGGUUUAAUUCGAUGAUACGCGAGGAACCUUACCCGGGCUCAAACGGGAGAUGACGCAGUCAGAGACGACUGUUUCCACGGACAUCUUCCGAGGUGCUGCAUGGUUGUCGUCAGCUCGUGCCGUGAGGUGUCGGCUUAAGUGCCAUAACGAGCGCAACCCCUGCCGCCAGUUGCUAACGCUAAAAGGCGAGGACUCUGGCGGGACUGCCGGCGCAAGCCGUGAGGAAGGCGGGGAUGACGUCAAAUCAGCACGGCCCUUACGUCCGGGGCGACACACGUGUUACAAUGGCCGGUACAGCGGGAAACCAGGCGGUGACGCCGCGCGGAACCCGAAAACCGGUCUCAGUUCGGAUCGGAGUCUGCAACCCGACUCCGUGAAGCUGGAUUCGCUAGUAAUCGCGCAUCAGCCAUGGCGCGGUGAAUACGUUCCCGGGCCUUGUACACACCGCCCGUC
rnacentral:rRNA from 1 species